GAUUAUGGCUCAGGAUGAACGCUAGCUACAGGCUUAACACAUGCAAGUCGAGGGGCAGCAUGUGGUGCUGCAACCAAUGAUGGCGACCGGCGCACGGGUGAGUAACGCGUAUCCAACCUUCCCUAUAGUAGAGGAUAGCCCGGCGAAAGUCGGAUUAAUACUCUAUGUUUUCCAAUGCAGACAUCUAAAAUGGAACAAAGGUUCACCGCUAUAGGAUGGGGAUGCGUCUGAUUAGAUAGUCGGCGGGGUAACGGCCCACCGAGUCGACGAUCAGUAGGGGUUCUGAGAGGAAGGUCCCCCACAUUGGAACUGAGACACGGUCCAAACUCCUACGGGAGGCAGCAGUGAGGAAUAUUGGUCAAUGGGCGAGAGCCUGAACCAGCCAAGUAGCGUGCAGGAAGACGGCCCUAUGGGUUGUAAACUGCUUUUAUACAGGGAUAAAGUGACGUACGUGUACGUUAUUGUAGGUACUGUAUGAAUAAGGACCGGCUAAUUCCGUGCCAGCAGCUGC
rnacentral:rRNA from 1 species